CAGCUCACCGCUGUGCGGGCAGGAACUGUGGUGCAUGUUUGUUUGUUGAGCUCCUUCGUCCUCGGCACCAGAGCGGUACCUAGCACUUAGUGGGUGCCCAAUACAUACGGUGACGUUUUGAAAAGUUUACUUGCCUGGUCAUUUCCCUUUAUGUAUGUCGGACCUAAUCUUUUCCUAGCCCUGGAUUACAACAUAGCAACAGGAGCCUAUCUGAUUCCUUUUUCAUUUGGCCCUGUGCGGUUGGCAUUCGUGUAGGUCAUUAAACAUGCCUUAAGAACCCGUUUUUCUGACCUCGGACAGGUCAGAUGACUUCGCGAAGGCCAUCUAGCUUCUUGGUGACAGAGGCGAGUCAGAGCCCAGGUCUUUGCCGUCUCAAGGCUCUCUCCUUCGUUGCACAGUAAUCUCAGUGAGACUGAGGUGACUAAGGGGUAGUAGCACGGAAUUGCCGUGCUAGAGGUGGUGCAUCUCCUGGGUUUUACGGACCCGAGUAUUGCAUAGGAUAAAAGAUGUUCUGUCAUUGUAGAAGUCGCUCACGGUCAGUGACGAAAAUUUGGAGGACAGGUAAUGAAAGCUUGAUAAAGAAAUCCAAUGGUUUCCGCAGUCCCAUCACCCAGUGAUGACCACUUAACAAUAUUUCAGCGAAUACACAGUGGAAAAGAGUGAAACAAGCAAUACCUGAGGUGGAGAGGAGAAAUGCCCUGCGAUCCCCGCCCCAGUGGUCGAUAUCAUCGUGUAACCUUGCUAACUGAGUAAGGCAGGCAUCACGGUUGUCCUGCUCUGCGUCUGCCCAGCAUUGUAUUCUCGGCACCCCCACAAAACAGCGCCUAGCUGUGAGCUCGCAACACGUAUUCAUGGAAUAAAUGAACAAGUACCUCUUUUCUUCCCGAUGCUCUUCUUUGCACGUAUUAUUUAUCGUUUUAUAAUACUCGAGUGGUACUGUAUGAACGGUCUCCUACAUUGCUUCUCCCCUUCCCCCUUCCGUUUAACACAGUACUGUGGACGAUUCCUAUGUUAUUACACUUUUAAGGACGUUUCGCUGGCUCUUUUACUCUCUUCCCAAUGCACCUUUUAUUUCAUUCUAGUGCUGGGAAGAGCAGGAAAGCAUCCUGCAAACCGGUGAGCAAUCUAGAGGUGGUAGACCUGGGACCUGAACACUGGGGCCCUCUUUGAGGAGCCAGGAGACCCUGGGCGACGCACUCCUCCCCCGUGUGCCACAGUCUGCACAGGUGUACAGUGAGGGUGGCGGGAAUGGCACCUGCUUCGUGGGGUGGUGAGCAGCAUAUACAACCCAACAGGUUCUUUGCUUGCUUCCUGGCACUUAUGGAGAUCAUGUUAUCGGUGGUAUUAUUAUUACUAUUAUUAUUAAUUAUUCUCUCCAGUAUUCGCUGUAAUGUCUGUAGCAGGUACAGAUGUCCAAGCCACAAGACUGUGACGAAAUGCACCCUUUACAUUUGCUUACAGCAGAUACCUGUUCUUCAACCACCCAUUCCUGCUUUCUGGUGGAAAACACACUAGCAACUUCUAGGGAAAGUCAGUCAAGGAAAUGUGCAGGAGGAACGCGCAUUGGUACAUUCCUCAAAGAUUAUCCCGUCACAGAGUGAAACAAAAAAGCUGUACGUACACAUCUUUCACCAUCUCUGAUAUGUGUAACAGAUUUCAGGAGUGGAUUUACUGCGUCGAAAAGACGUGAACAAAGUACUUUGAACGCUCUUGGUGUACACUGCAAAAAGACACAAAACCCAUUUGUAUUGUCACCGACAUUCUGUGAGGAGUCUUGGUUUUCUGUACUCUCACGAGCAUUCAUUCAGUGGGUCGUAAAUGUACUUAGCCUUUUCAUUUUAACAGCUGCAGGUGACGAUCUUGACCCACAUUCAGGCACAUACAUUGCAGAUGCUCUUCUUAUGUGUGUGUGGCUUUUUAGUCACUUGUGGUUUUCCAGAUGCACAGAUACUUUGGUUUUUACGUAGCUAAUUCCAUCCAUCCUUUCACGCAUAGCAUCACUCUUUGUUACAAAGGUGGGGGGAAAAAAACACCUUCCUGAUCCACCCGUCCUGUUACUUGUUUUUGUCCCUAAUCUUCCCUGUGCUUCCAGUCCCCUGCCAAAACUCCCCACUGAAAUCCCUGGGAGACCCCAAAAAAACAAAUGAAGUUUCACAAUAACCAGAGAGAGUUGGGACUUACCUGCAACUACGUGGCAACAUCAGAGAUUUCCCACUACCUAAAAGGCUGACUGACAUGUCUCUCUGAUGCAUCGCAGGACACCUUUCAGUAGGUCGAGGAGGUGCCAGAGCCUGCUUUGGCCGGGCCACAUGGGUGCCCACAAAUGAGAAUUUAACCCUGAAAGGAAUAACAUGCCCUCUGCACCCGCUAUAGCCGUAGAGGUAGGAGAAUUUCUUUUCGGUGGUAUAGUUGAAUUGGACAGCCCCCACCCACCCACCCCCAGCGUUCCUUGGAGAACAAUGUAAUCCUGUUGCCAGGUGCAGGAAGAAUGAGUCUCUAACUAUGGAGACUGACUGGAGAGCACUUGCAGGGAUGCUGGGCGGGGGUGCGAGUGGGUGGGCACUAAAUGCUAACAGCACUGCAGAGAUCUCCACCCUUUUGGUUAAUGGCCUUAAGCCUGAGAGAUCAGCAGCUGUUCAGAAGCAGAAAAUGGGCUGGCAGACCUUGCCAUCCAGGAGGUACAACAAUUGGUCCAACAUUUUGUGCAUAUUGUGAUAAACAAAGAGAAAACUUCACUCACAGACGGAUGGCACUACAACCGAAACGGGUGGGGGGCCGGGGCAACGAAAGUCCCUCGACAAGCACAGCACAGCUAGACGACGCAUGUGCCGUCGGCGUGCUUUAUGAUUUCAGCAUGCUGUGGAAACAACUGACCGCUGUUGUUACUCGCAUGACGCUUGGUGAGCAGGUUCAAGCUUACGAGAAGCCUUUCUCCUCCCUCAAGGAAUUGGCCAUCAUCAGAGUCGAAACUCAUCCUAGGAAACAAACCCAUGAGACAACAGGAAAUUCCUUGGCCGACCAGUGUGCUAAACAAUUUGCUCCCAUCCAGGUUCAUCGAAGUGAAGAUGGUCUGGUAACUCCAGAUCAUUUCUAUGAAACCUUGAGACAACCACAGUCACAAGCAUUCCAUUCUGUGAGAAGGAUACUGGGAGUAUGGCGAUUCCUCCCCCACAAAAGACAGGAGAUUAAACAUCGAUUUACCAUAUGAUCCAGCAAUUCCAAUUCUGGGUAUAUGCCCAAAAGAACUGGAAACAGAGACUUGAACAGAUAUGUGUACUCCCAUGUUCAGAGGCAGCACUAUCCACAAUAGCUAAAAGGUGGGAGUGGCCCAAGUGUCUGCUGACAAACGAAUGGGUUAACAAAACGUGGUAUGUGUGACGAUGCAAUAUUACAUAGCCUUGAAAAGGGAGGGAAUUCUGACAUGUGCUACGACAUGGAUGAGCCCUGAAGACAUCAUGCUAAGUGAAGUAGACCCGUCGCAAAAAGACAAAGACUGUAUGAUUCCAUUCCUAUGAGAAGACGAGAUCUCCAGGGUAUGUUCCACCCGCUACACUGCAUAACCCUGAAAACACCGUGAAGGAAGGUGGGACAUGGACAGGAACCAGAGCUUCAAGGGACCUUUGAGGAUUUACACGUGGCCAUCACACAGCUUCUUGCAUACCAAUGAAUUAAAUACAUCCAUAAUACCGUCGGCCUCUCCAUGGCAUGUUUAUUUAUUUCCUCAAAAGAUUUCCCUUUUUAUUAAGGCAUUAUAGACAUAUACUCUUAUGAAGGUUUCACAUGAAAAAACAAUGUGGUUACUACAUUUACUCCAUGGCAUGUUUAGAGACUUUCCCUUGUU